rnacentral:rRNA from 1 species
GACGAACGCUGGCGGCGUGCUUAACACAUGCAAGUCGAACGGAAAGGCCCUGCUUUUGUGGGGUGCUCGAGUGGCGAACGGGUGAGUAACACGUGAGUAACCUGCCCUUGACUUUGGGAUAACUUCAGGAAACUGGGGCUAAUACCGGAUAGGAGCUCCUGCUGCAUGGUGGGGGUUGGAAAGUUUCGGCGGUUGGGGAUGGACUCGCGGCUUAUCAGCUUGUUGGUGGGGUAGUGGCUUACCAAGGCUUUGACGGGUAGCCGGCCUGAGAGGGUGACCGGCCACAUUGGGACUGAGAUACGGCCCAGACGCCUACGGGAGGCAGCAGUGGGGAAUAUUGCACAAUGGGCGGAAGCCUGAGGCAGCAACGCCGCGUGCGGGAUGACGGCCUUCGGGUUGUAAACCGAUUUCGCCUGUGACGAAGCGUGAGUGACGGUAAUGGGUAAAGAAGCACCGGCUAACUACGUG